rnacentral:lncRNA from 1 species
AUAUCCCUUUCACUGUGCCCCUCUAUAGUUUUAUAGGAUUCUUUUUCACCAUACAGACAUACCUAUACAUCACGUAUAUAAGACCUUAACAUCUGCAAAGAGAAUUAUUCUCCUUUUCUUUUUCUUGUCUAAUUGCUCUGGCUAGGACUUCCCAGUGCAAUGCUGAAUAGGAGUGGUGAAACUGAGCACCCUCCUCUUGUUCCUGGACGUAGUAGGAAAGCUUUGAACAUUUUGCCAUGAAUAUGAUGUCAGCUGUGUUUUUGUCAUAUGGCCUUUAUUAUAGUACAUUCCUUCUAUACUAAAUUUGUUGAGAGUUUUUUUCAUGAAAGGAUUUUGAAUUUUGUCAAAUGCCUUUUCUGCAUCCAUUGAAAUGAACGUGAUUUCUAUCUUUCAUUCUAUUAAUAUCGUGUAUCACGUUUAUUGUUUUUAUUGCUUUCCAAGGAUAAAUUCCACUUGAUCAUGGUGUAUGAUCCUUUUCAUGCGAUACUGAAUUCAGUUUUUAGAAUUUUGUUGAAAAUGUCUGCAUCUACGUUCAUCGGGGACACCAACCUAGAGUUGUCUUGUAGUGUCCUUAUCUGCUUUGGUAUCAGGGUAAUUCUGGCCUUGAAAAUGAGUUUGGAAGUGUUCCCUCUCUUCAAUGUUUUGAAAGAGUUUGAGGAGAAUUGGUAUUAAUUCUUCUUUAAAUGUUUGGUAGAAUUCAGCGGCGAAACCAUCGAGUCCUGGGCUUUUCUUUGGUGGGAGACUGUUGUUUACUGUUUCAAUCUCUUUACUCAUUGGUUUAUCCAAAUUUUCCAUUUCUUCAGCAUUCAACCUUGUAGACUGUAUGUAGGUUGGGUCUCUAGACUCAUCCUCUUUACUGUCUCAGAGGGUUCCUUGGAGGACUGUUCUUUUCUUCCUUUUUUAAGUUGAUAACUAUAUCAGACAUAAGACAGGGGCAUAAAAAUGUAUGCUCCCCAGAACCAACACAGAGGGAACAUCUAGAAAAUAGGACCAAGAUUGUGGAAGGCCCAAAUGUGAUUCCCCCCAUGACCAGCCCCCAUUCUCACCCCCAUCCCGAGAACUCCUCCCCUCGAGAUGCCUGCUCCUCUGAUUCUAUACUAGCAUUCCCUGCCUUUAUGGCUGUGCAGUCUAGUUAUUUAGAUGUCUUUAACUAAAGGAAGUAUUUGUCAAUUGGUCCAACUUUGGAACUUUUUCUUAAAGUUCUUCAGAAUUCUUCUGCUUCUUGCUUCUUUGCUCAGUAUUGUGUUUGUGGAAUCAAUGAUGCUGACACAUAUCUCUGGAGUUCGUUUGUUUUCACUGUUGUGUAGUAUUUCACUCUAAGAUAUGCCAUAGAGUAUUCAUUUAGUUCAUUGUUGUUGGGCUUUGUCAACUUCUGUUUUGUUAAAAAAACAUACUGCUAUGAGUAUUCUUGCAUUUGCCUUCUGGUAUUGAUUUUUUAAAUACAGUAAGAAAAAUAUUUGUGCCUAUUAUUUUUUGCUUUCAGUUUCUCCCCAAGUCGUCUAAGUUUACUUUUCUCCUCUUUCUUGCCUUCUUUUGGAUUGACAUUUUUUUUCUUAUCCUACUUUUUGCCUUUUACUAAUUUGAAAGUUACAUACUCUAUUCUUUUUUUUUAUAUUGCUCAAUGAAUUUAUGACAUUUAUAGUUGUGCAAUGAUCAUUACAACCCAAUUUUAUAUUCCAUGCCAAACCCCCAGCAUCCCCCCACCCCCUCUCUCUCCUUUGGAAACUGUAAGUUUUUCAAAGUCUGUGAGUCAGUAUCUGUUCUGCAAAAAAGUUCAUUAUGUCCUUUUUUCAGAUUCCACAUGUCAGUGACAGCAUUUGAUGCUGGUGUCUCAUUGUCUGACGGACUUCACUUAGCAUAAUAAUUUCUAGGUCCAUCCAUUUUGCUAAAAAUGCUGGUAUUUUGUUCCUUUUAAUGGCUGAGUAAUAUUCCAUUGUGUAUAUGUACCCCAUCUUGUUGAUCCACUCCUCUGUCGAUGGACAUUUAGGUUGUUUCCAUGUCUUGGCUAUUGCAAAUAGUGCUGCAAUAAACAUUGGAGUACAUGUGUCUUUUCGAGUCAUGGUUUCCUCUGGAUAGAUACCCAGGAGUGGGAUUGCUGGAUCAAAUGGGAGUUCUAUUUUUAGUUUUCUGAGGAAUCUCCAUACUGUUUUCCACAGUGGAAAUGCACCAAUUUACAUUCCCACCAACAGUGUAAUAGGGUUCCUUUUUCUCCACACCCUCUCCAGCACUUAAUUGUUUGCAGACUUUUCGAUGAUGGCCAUUCUGACUGGUGUAAGUUGUUACCUCAUAGUGGUUUUGAUGUAUACACUCUAUUCUGUUAAGGGAACCCUAGAAACUUCAAAUGACACUAAUGAAAGUAAAAUGCUAAUCAGUAUAUUUACCCUUCUCCUAAUUUAUAUGCUAUUGUUGGUCUGUGUUUUAAUUCUACAUGUAAGCUUCAGAAGAUAUUAUUACAUUAUCUCACUUAGUCUAAUUUGUCUAGAUAUACCUAGAUAUGUUCCCAUUUUUUUGAUCUCGUGUUCCUUCUUAUAUCUCUGACCUUCAUCUGCUAUCUCUUUCUCUGUGUCAUACACACACUUUACAAUUUCACUCAGUAAGCAUGACUAGUGCCAAAUACUCUCAUUUUUUUGUUCACCUGAAAAUGUCUUUAUUUUUCCCUCAUUCUUGCAAGAUACUUUUUCUGGUUAAAUAACUCUAUACUGACAAUCAUUUUUCUUCAAUCCAUUGAAAAUGUUCUCUUUCUAGCUUGGUUUCUGUUGUGGGUAAUGAAGAGUCAGUUAUCCAUCUUUUUUCUUGUGGAGGUUAUCAUCUAAAGUUUGUAAGACCUCUCUCAGCCAUUAGUGUCUUGCAGAUUCCUCAUGCUGUGCUCAAGUCUGGAUCCUCAUCAUGCAUACUUUCAAGAGUUCAUUAGGAAUCCUAAGAAUACUGGCAUUUUCUCACAUCCACAAUACCAUGGUUAUACCUAUGAAAACUACCAAUAAUCUAAUAUAGUUAAUACCUAAUCCAUAUUCAAACACUCUCAAUUGUCCCUGAAAUUUGUUUUCCCAAUCAGGAUCCAAAAAGGAUUCAUGUCUUAAGAUUUAUCAUGCCUCAUUUUAUCUUUAACAGCUUUAUUUAGACAUAAUUGACAUAGAAUAAACAGCACAUACUGAAGAGUGAAGUUUAAUGAUGUAUAACAUGUAUACAGAUGUGAAACCAUCAGUACAGUCAAGGUGUGAACAUAUGCUAUCACUCCCCAAACUUCCUAUUUUCCCCUUGGUAUUCCCCCCCCCCCACUUCUUGCUCAUUUCCCUGGCAACCACUGAUCUUCUUUCUGUCACUAUAGAUUAAGUACAUUUUCUAAAGUUUUAUAUAAAUGGAAUUCAUAACUCAUGUAUUCUUUUUGUCUAUAACUUCUUUCACUCAGAAUAAUCGUUUUGAAAUUUAUCCAUGUUACUGCAUGAAUCAAUAAUUUGUCUCUUUUCAUUGCUGAAUAGAAUUUGUCUUUUUGUAUUGAUAUGACCACCCUAUAACAUUACAUUAGUUUCAGUUUGUACAGCUUAAUGAUUUGAUAAUUGUAAAUACUGUGAAAUGAUCACAGUAAAUCUAGUUAACAUCCAUCACCCCACACAUUUACAACUUUUUUCCUUUUGCUGAGAACUUUUAAGAUCUAUUCUCUUAGCAACUUUCAAAUAUACAUAUAAUAUUAUUAACCAUAUUACUAUGCUGUAUAUUACAUUUUUAGGACUUAUGUCUUAAAAAAUAUGAAGCGCUUCAGAAAUUUGCAUGUCAUCCUUAUGCAGGAAUCUGUUUUUAUGCUGUUGAAGCAAACACAGCAUCAUGCUUCAUGGUAUGGAUGUAGCAGAUUCUCUAACCGCCCAUCUGUAGAUGGAUGUUUAGAUUGUUUUCAAGUGUUGACUAUCAUAAACAGAAUCCAGACGAGGGCAAGAGAAAGGCACCUUGUGCAUGAAACUUAAGAAGGAGCUCACUAUCAGGUUUGUACAAAUACCCCACUUGCUUUGCCCCCAUACCAGUCCUGAUGGCAAAUUAAACUGCCAUGAACAUUUGUGUCUUGGCAUAGACAUAUACUUUCAUUUCUCAUGGGUAAAUACCUAGGAGUGGCAUUGCAGGGUCAUGUGGUAGUCACAUCCUAAUUUCUUUAGAAGCUGUUUUCCAAAGUGUGCCAUCUUACAUUUCUGCACCCAAUGCAUGACAUUCCAGCUGAUCUACUUUCUCUCCAACACUUGGUUUUGUCAGCCUUUUGAAUUUUAGUAGUUCUAAUGGGUGUGUACUGGUAUCUCAUUGUGGUUUUAAUUUGCCUUUCUUUAAUAAUUAAUGAGGUUGAGCAUCUUUUCAUUUGCUUAUUUGCUAUCCAUGUAUUAUUGUCCCUGAUGUAUUAUUGGUUGAAAUCUUUUUCCCAUUUUCAAUUGAAUUGUUUGUCAUCUUGUUAUUAAGUUGUAGUUAUUUAUAUAUUCCAAGUACAAUUUCUUUGUCAGAUAUAUAUUUUGUUUCAUUUUUUUCUUUUUAGGGCCACAAUGAUGGCAUAUGGAAGUUCCCAGUCUAGGGCUCAAAUCAGAGCUGUAGUCCCAGCCACAGCCACAGCCACAGCAACACAGGACCCAAGCCACAUCUGUAACCUACACUGCAGCUCAUGGCAAAGUCAGAUCCCUGACCCACUGAGCAAGGCCAGGGAUUGAACCCACAUCCUCAUGGAUACUGGCGGGAUUCGUUUCUGCUGUGCCACAAUGGGAACUCCUCUGUUAGAUCUAUUUUGCAAUAUUUUCUCCUGGUAUGUGCCUCGCCUUUUAUUUUCAUAACAGCAUUUUUUUUGAACAGUAGAAGUUUUUAUUUUUUGAAGUCCAAACUGUCAGUUGUUCCAUGCCUUUUGUUUUAUUUUUAAGAAACUUUGCCAAAUAUAAAGUCACUAAGCUUUUCUAGAUCUUAUUCUGGAAGUUUUAGGUCUUAUUUUUAGGUUUUUCUCCAUCUUGGGUUAAUUUUCGUAUAUAUUAUGAGGUAGGGGUUGAGUUUCAUUUUUUUCAAUAUGUUAUGCAGUUGUUUCAGCACUAUUUAGUUAAAUCAUUAGCAUUUCUCAAUUGAACUACCUCACCAACAUUGUUUAAAAUAAUUGAUUAUAUAUAUAUAUCAGUCUAUUUUGAACUCCAUUCUCUGCUGUUACAUUACUCCAUUUGCUUAUCUUUUUUCCAAUGCUACACUGUCUUUAAGUCUGUAGCUUUAUUUAUUUAUUUAUUUAUUUAUUUAUUUAUUGCCACACCCACAGCACAUGGAAGUUCCCAGGUCAGGGACUGAAUCCGAGCCAUAGCUGCAGCCUAAACCAGAGCUGCAGCAGUGCCUCUGGAUCCUUAACCCAUGGCACCAGAGCAGGAGCUCCCAUAUUCUAACUUUAUAAGUCUUGAAA